rnacentral:rRNA from 1 species
UACGGAGGGUGCAAACGUUGCUCGGAAUCAUUGGGCGUAAAGCGCACGUAGGCGGCCAGUUGCGUCUGCUGUGAAAUCCCGGGGCUCAACCCCGGGCGUGCAGUGGAUACGGGCUGGCUAGAGGCAGGCAGGGGAGAACGGAAUUCCCGGUGUAGCGGUGAAAUGCGCAGAUAUCAGGAGGAACACCGGUGGCGAAGGCGGGUCUCUGGGCCGUUACUGACGCUGAGGAGCGAAAGCGUGGGGAGCGAACAGG